AGAUGACGCGGCGGCAUGCUUACACUGCAAGUCGAACGGCAGCGGGGGAGAAGCUUGCUUCUUCCGCGGCGAGUGGCGAACGGGUGAGUAAUACAUCGGAACGUGCCCUGUAGUGGGGGAUAACUAGUCGAAAGAUUAGCUAAUACCGCAUACGACUGAGGGUGAAAGUGGGGGACCGCAAGGCCUCUGCUAUAGGAGCGGCCGAUGUCUGAUAGCUAGUUGGUGGGGUAAAGGCCCACCAAGGCGACGAUCAGUAGCUGGUCUGAGAGGACGAUCAGCCACACUGGGACUGAGACACGGCCCAGACUCCUACGGGAGGCAGCAGUGGGGAAUUUUGGACAAUGGGCGAAAGCCUGAUCCAGCAAUGCCGCGUGUGUGAAGAAGGCCUUCGGGUUGUAAAGCACUUUUGUCCGGAAAGAAAUGGCUCUGGUUAAUACCUGGGGUCGAUGACGGUACCGGAAGAAUAAGGACCGGCUAACUACGUGCCAGCAGCCGCGGUAAUACGUAGGGUCCAAGCGUUAAUCGGAAUUACUGGGCGUAAAGCGUGCGCAGGCGGUUGUGCAAGACCGAUGUGAAAUCCCCGAGCUUAACUUGGGAAUUGCAUUGGUGACUGCACGGCUAGAGUGUGUCAGAGGGGGGUAGAAUUCCACGUGUAGCAGUGAAAUGCGUAGAGAUGUGGAGGAAUACCGAUGGCGAAGGCAGCCCCCUGGGAUAACACUGACGCUCAUGCACGAAAGCGUGGGGAGCAAACAGGAUUAGAUACCCUGGUAGUCCACGCCCUAAACGAUGUCAACUAGUUGUUGGGGAUUCAUUUCCUUAGUAACGUAGCUAACGCGUGAAGUUGACCGCCUGGGGAGUACGGUCGCAAGAUUAAAACUCAAAGGAAUUGACGGGGACCCGCACAAGCGGUGGAUGAUGUGGAUUAAUUCGAUGCAACGCGAAAAACCUUACCUACCCUUGACAUGCCACUAACGAAGCAGAGAUGCAUUAGGUGCUCGAAAGAGAAAGUGGACACAGGUG
rnacentral:rRNA from 1 species